GACGUAGGUGGCAAGCGUUGUCCGGAGUUAUUAGGGCGUAAAGCGCGCGCAGGCGGUUCGGUAAGUCCAUGGUGAAAAGCGCCCGGCUCAACUGGGCGGGUCAGCGGAUACGGUCGAGCUUGAGCAAGCCAGGGGGCAAUGGAAUUCCCGGUGUAGUGGUGGAAUGCGUAGAUAUCGGGAGGAACACCAGUGGCGAAGGCGGUUGCCUGGAGCUUUGGCUGAACGCUGAGGCGCGAAAGCGAUGGGGAGCGGUAGGGACCGCGAAUUCGAAU
rnacentral:rRNA from 1 species